GUUUGUACCACGUGUACCGGUCUGGAGGAUGUAAUCUGGGGCAGACCUUUCUCAUUGUGCAUUUCACAACUUUCUCUAUGGGCGAUGCAAGAUUCAGGGACCUUCUUAAUCACUCUAAGGCCUAAGCUACUUUUGAAGAAGAAGUAGCUCUUUGGCAUACUGGAUGAUGUUGUCAAGAAGCAGCUGCCGCACAAUGUCACUUGGGGUUUGAGUUUGUUGUAUGCCAUGGACCACAAAUAGGUGAGUUGGCACAUGCUUUGUGGUUCCUAGCUUAUGUAGUGUUUGAGAGCUUUUAGCUUUUGGGUGACAUCCUAGAGUUGAAUAAGAAAUCUGUUGAACUUUCUGAUGAUAUCAGUUGAUUCGAGCAUGAAGAGCUACUUGACGCUUCUCAAAAAGGUAAUUCAGGUGGAGCUAGAUGCUGCAAAGACAAAGCCUUAGACCCUGAACAAGCGGAGGCCAAAGCUAUGCUGGAAGGUGCGUUAUGUGCCAAGAGAAAAGGAUACAGAAAUGUGCAUAUGGAAGGAGAUUGUUUAAAUGUUAUUGAUGCUUUGAUUGGAAGUCUAGAGUCGAUAAAAUGGACCACAAGAAACUUAGUUAUUGAUUGUGGCAAUGUUUUGAAUUCUUUUGAUAGUUGGAAAUGCACUCAUGUGCAUAGAAAUGUGAACCAUGUUGCCCAUACAUUGCCAAAACAUGGUAAAGACAUUAUGUCUGAAGUAGAAUGGGUAAGUCAUCUUCCUAACUGGGUGAUACAAUG